UGAUAGGAGCAUGCAUGCACACGGAGGGGCACGGAACCACCAAGCUGGCCUUAGCACUGAUGGUGCAUGCACACGUCGGGGAGGCCCAUGGCCAACGAGCAGAGGGAGUUAUCCAAGGCUGCCGAUGUCAGCCUCGAAACUAUCAGAGGUGCAUGGGCAUGCAAGGGACAUGGAGCCGCUCGUGCGGACCGUCGAUCUAGCCUCAACAUCGUCAGAGAAGCACACGAGCAUGCAGGAGGCACUAUCCAACAGAGGGAUGCGGAGUCCGUCGAAGAGUGUGCAGAGGUGGCAUCGAUCGAAGGACACAUGCUGAGGGGAC
rnacentral:lncRNA from 1 species